rnacentral:rRNA from 1 species
UCGAAGUUGGGGCCAGGAGCCGCGGGAAGACGGAGGGGGCUGGCGUUGCGCGGAAUUACUGUGCGUAAAGCGCACGGAGGGGGCUUUCUAAGUCGGGGGUGAAAUCCUGGAGUUCAACUCCAGAACGGCCUUCGAUACUGGAGGGCGCGAGUCCGGGAGAGGUGAGUGGAACUGCGAGUGUAGAGGUGAAAUUCGUAGAUAUUCGCAAGAACACCAGUGGCGAAGGCGGCUCACUGGCCCGGUACUGACGCUGAGGUGCGAAAGCGUGGGGAGCAAACAGGAUUAGAUACCCGUGUAGUC